AAAGGCGGCGGUUCCUAAUACAUGCAAGUCGAACGCGUUGGCCCAAUUGAUUGAUGGUGCUUGCACCUGAUUGAUUUUGGUUGCCAACGAGUGGCGGACGGGUGAGUAACACGUAGGUAACCUGCCCAGAAGCGGGGGACAACAUUUGGAAACAGAUGCUAAUACCGCAUAACAGCGUUGUUCGCAUGAACAACGCUUAAAAGAUGGCUUCUCGCUAUCACUUCUGGAUGGACCUGCGGUGCAUUAGCUUGUUGGUGGGGUAACGGCCUACCAAGGCGAUGAUGCAUAGCCGAGUUGAGAGACUGAUCGGCCACAAUGGGACUGAGACACGGCCCAUACUCCUACGGGAGGCAGCAGUAGGGAAUCUUCCACAAUGGGCGCAAGCCUGAUGGAGCAACACCGCGUGAGUGAAGAAGGGUUUCGGCUCGUAAAGCUCUGUUGUUAAAGAAGAACACGUAUGAGAGUAACUGUUCAUACGUUGACGGUAUUUAACCAGAAAGUCACGGCUAACUACGUGCCAGCAGCCGCGGUAAUACGUAGGUGGCAAGCGUUAUCCGGAUUUAUUGGGCGUAAAGAGAGUGCAGGCGGUUUUCUAAGUCUGAUGUGAAAGCCUUCGGCUUAACCGGAGAAGUGCAUCGGAAACUGGAUAACUUGAGUGCAGAAGAGGGUAGUGGAACUCCAUGUGUAGCGGUGGAAUGCGUAGAUAUAUGGAAGAACACCAGUGGCGAAGGCGGCUACCUGGUCUGCAACUGACGCUGAGACUCGAAAGCAUGGGUAGCGAACAGGAUUAGAUACCCUGGUAGUCCAUGCCGUAAACGAUGAGUGCUAAGUGUUGUAGCGUUUCCGCCCUUCAGUGCCGGAGCUAACGCAUUAAGCACUCCGCCUGCGGAGUACGACCGCAAGGUUGAAACUCAAAGGAAUUGACGGGGGCCCGCACAAGCGGUGGAGCAUGUGGGUUAAUUCAAAGCUACUCGAAGAACCUUACUGGUCUUGACAUCUUGCGCCACCCUAGAAAAAAGCCGUUUCCUUCCCCACGCAAUGACAGGGGGGGAUGGUCCUCCCCAGUGCCGACGGGGAUGUUGGGUUAAGUCCCCAACCAGCGCAACCGUGGUUCUUUUUCCCCCAAUAAAUGGGGCCCUGGGGGACCGCCGGGAAAGACCGGAAAAAGGGGGAGAGGG
rnacentral:rRNA from 1 species